rnacentral:rRNA from 1 species
UACAGAGGGGGCAAGCGUUGUUCGGAAUUACUGGGCGUAAAGGGCGCGUAGGUGGCGCGCUAAGUCAGGUGUGAAAUCUCGGGGCUUAACUCCGAAACUGCAUUCGAUACUGCGGUGCUUGAGGACUGGAGAGGAGACUGGAAUUUACGGUGUAGCAGUGAAAUGCGUAGAGAUCGUAAGGAAGACCAGUGGCGAAGGCGGGUCUCUGGACAGUUCCUGACACUGAGGCACGAAGGCCAGGGGAGCAAACGGG